GGAAGUGUAGCUCAGUGGUACAGCAUCUGUCCUGCAUGCAGAAGCCCCUGGGUUCAAUCCCCAGCAUCUACA